CCUUUGGCCCUUUUCAGGGCCACCGACUGUGCUUGAAGGAGUUGG
rfam:Aedes aegypti strain Liverpool supercont1.227 genomic scaffold, whole genome shotgun sequence.